UACGAAGGGGGCUAGGCGUUGUUCGGAAUUACUGGGCGUAAAGCGCACGUAGGCGGACUAUUAAGUCAGGGGUGAAAUCCCGGGGCUCAACCCCGGAACUGCCUUUGAUACUGGUGGUCUAGAGUCCGGAAGAGGUGAGUGGAAUUCCGAGUGUAGAGGUGAAAUUCGUAGAUAUUCGGAGGAACACCAGUGGCGAAGGCGGCUCACUGGUCCGGUACUGACGCUGAGGUGCGAAAGCGUGGGGAGCAAACAGG
rnacentral:rRNA from 1 species